UAAGGUAUAAACUAACCGUCGAUCGAAAUCUUUUUCCGAAACAUAGCUGUGUUUGGUUCUGGAUAAAUCUGAGGGAAAGAAAAAAGAGGACUUUAAACAAAGAUAAGCUUAAUUGGGGGGUUUCGUUACUUCCGUAUGCUCAAGAUUCUAAUCUCUUCUCCUUUCUCACAUUUUUAUCGGCAACCAAUGACAACCAAAUCACAAUCCCGAGCCCUAGACUUCCUAUGUCCUUAAUCAACUCUGUAAAGCGACCAAUGCAAUACUCUCAAUGAGGAUCACAAACCAUUUAGCAUGUUGGCAGGGAGAAGAAAAAUGUUUCAUUGGGAUUUGAAAAUUGAGAUUUUUGAAGUCCAUGUGGUGGAUCAAAGGUGCUCCUUCGAAUUUGGGAGGGUCUACUUUCUAGUAAGUUUGGUAUUGAGUUCAAGACUCUGGAUGUUCUAGUUGCAUGCUGUUUGUUUUUUAUUCAUUUAAAUUUUGCACUCCCUGAGCAUUCUGAUUUAUCAUAGGCUGCCUUCAACACUUGAAGAAUCACAAGAGUUUUCUAUGCAUCUGCAGUUUUCUCUACUCAGUACUUACAUUAAUCUAUUUUUAUAACUGUCCAAUUUGAGUUCUUCAUUCUGCUGGCCUUUUUUCUUUCUGUUUCUUUUCCACUUAAAUUAUUGUCCCGCUGGAUAAGAAUUUUUGGAUACUUGGUAGCUGUGAAUGCUUGCAGACAUGCAUUCCAUGGUCAAAAAAAGACAGUAUACUUGUAGGUUUGCCGUUGGCAUUACCGCUACUUUGGAGAUUGCCAAAAGCAUGACAUGUUCUGCAUCAGUAGGGCAUAGGAACCAGAGUUAGUUGAGACUGGUAGUUUCUACCCCUUUUUUGUCACAUAUUUGAACUGUGAAAUUUGGCCAAUAUUUAGACUAUAUUCCAACCACCUUUAAAGAUAAUCGAGAUUCAUUUUUUAUGUCUCUUUUAUUUAUUUAUUUGAGAUGUCACGACAUUUUGCCUGAAAAAAUGAUCAAUUCUGACUGCGCUUGAGUUUGAUAACUUUUUGGUUUCGGCCUAACAUUUGGCCUGAACAAAGAUCAAUUAUGACUGCGUUUGAUUCUGAACCGAAAAUCUCCAUUAUCAACAUCUUCAUUUUGACUGUAACAGUUUAGACAUUAAAGUUGAUUGAUAUCUUAAAAUAAUAAAAUUUUCCAAAUGGAUAUUUCUGGAUGAAUUAGAAAGGUAUUCAAGCAGAAGAAUCACAUAUUGAACAAAACUCCUCCACCUGGCAGCCCUGACCGCAUGUAGGAUUUAUAGAAGAUUUUAUAUAACUGAUUGACCUCCAUUGUGAUCUAAUUAUGAAGUUAGAUGCUGUUUCUGUGAAUUGCAGCAAGUAUAAUUGGCUACAAUUCAAUAUAGCUACUGUAAUAGAGACGUCAACUUUUUCAUCUUUAUUUUUUAGAGAACCUUUUUUUUUUUUUUUGGGUUUUGGGUGUCUUCUAAUAUUCCACCGCAACUAACCUUCUGCAUGUGCACACAACAUCAACUGGAGAGAGACUAGAAUCAAAACUUAUGAAUUAGUUCAAUUACGGAGAAGGGACAAAGAGAGGUAGGAAUCUAUCUACUCUUUGAAAUUUGCUUGACCUCAGUGUAAGCAAUGGGCAUUCAUGAAUGAGUGACAUAAAAGUGUACAGACAGAUCCGUUAUCCUAGAAAAACCUCCUCCAUGAAAUUCUGUUUCAUUAUAAUCUAUUCAGUAUUGCAUGGCACUUUCUUGUAGUAGCUUUUCACCUGAUUUCCAAAACAACCAUCUCAGCUACUCUUCAACAGCUAACUGUCUCUCCAGUUUAUAUUACAAGUCUGUAGCCUUUUAAUAAGAAUGAUCUUACAAGCUUCAUGUUAAUUGUGCUAAAACAUACUGCCAUGGCAUCUCUUAUUUGACUUGAUCAUCAAGGUGACAGCAUCCUAGGGUGGAUGGUCUUUCGAUGCAUCAUGGGCCAGAUGGCUCUUUGGCAUGGCAGUUCCAUGUGGAUUGCGUGUCGUGUUGGAAUUUAUUCGUUAGCUUGGUGAUUAGGAAUUUAUAAAUAAUAUCAUGUUAUUAGUCUUAGCCUAUGCAUAUUACUAUAUCAGAAGAUGUUUGCUUACGUCGUGUUUACACACAUUAGUUAUUGUUUGGUGUAUGAUGGUUUGAAAACUAAGUAAGAACUGUUGGAGCAGGACGAUGUUUUUGCGGGACAGAGGUUUUAAAACUAGUGACUGGCACCAUCUUAUCAAAUUGAAUCUUUGUGAAUAAAAUAAUAAAUGAUGAAACUUCUAAAUGUAAACUUAGCCAUGUCUGUCUUGGGAAAUUUGAGAGGAUAUAUUUUCCUGAAUUCUGCAUAUAAGCAAUGAAAGUAGCAUGUAUAUCGUUUCUUGGCAAAAAGGUUUUGCUAUAAAGAUAGAUAAAAGAUCAAGUGAACUGUUGAAGAAAAAGGGUUAUAAUGUACUGUGAUUUUUUAUGAGAUGAAAUGUAUAUGAACCGGGGAAGAGAAUAAAAUAGAACUUUGGAGUCAUAGCCAUUGAAGUA